rnacentral:rRNA from 1 species
CGCGUAGGCGGCCUUAUAAGUCUGAAGUGAAAGUCCUGCUUUCAAGGUGGGAAUUGCUUUGGAUACUGUAGGGCUUGAGUGCAGGAGAGGUAAGUGGAAUUCCCAGUGUAGCGGUGAAAUGCGUAGAGAUUGGGAGGAACACCAGUGGCGAAGGCGACUUACUGGACUGUAACUGACGCUGAGGCGCGAAAGUGUGGGGAGCAAACA